rnacentral:rRNA from 1 species
UACGUAGGGUGCAAGCGUGUCCGGAAUUAUUGGGCGUAAAGAGCUCGUAGGCGGUUUGUCGCGUCUGCCGUGAAAAUCCGGGGCUCAACCCCGGACUUGCAGUGGGUACGGGCAGACUAGAGUGUGGUAGGGGAGACUGGAAUUCCUGGUGUAGCGGUGAAAUGCGCAGAUAUCAGGAGGAACACCGAUGGCGAAGGCAGGUCUCUGGGCCACUACUGACGCUGAGAAGCGAAAGCAUGGGGAGCGAACAGGG